rnacentral:rRNA from 1 species
ACUCAAAGGAAUAGACGGGGACCCGCACAAGCGGUGGAUGAUGUGGAUUAAUUCGAUGCAACGCGAAAAACCUUACCUACCCUUGACAUGGUCGGAAUUUCACAGAGAUGUGGAAGUGCUCGAAAGAGAACCGGCGCACAGGUGCUGCAUGGCUGUCGUCAGCUCGUGUCGUGAGAUGUUGGGUUAAGUCCCGCAACGAGCGCAACCCUUAUCAUUAGUUGCUACGCAAGGGCACUCUAAUGAGACUGCCGGUGACAAACCGGAGGAAGGUGGGGAUGACGUCAAGUCCUCAUGGCCCUUAUGGGUAGGGCUUCACACGUCAUACAAUGGUACGUACAGAGGGUAGCCAACUCGCGAGGGGGAGCCAAUCUCAGAAAGCGUAUCGUAGUCCGGAUUGUAGUCUGCAACUCGACUACAUGAAGUUGGAAUCGCUAGUAAUCGCGGAUCAGCAUGUCGCGGUGAAUACGUUCCCGGGUCUUGCACACACCGCCCGU